UGUCCGCCGAAAGCCUAAGGGUUCCUGGGGAAGGCUCGUCCGCCCAGGGUAAGUCGGGACCUAAGGCGAGGCCGAAAGGCGUAGUCGAAGGACAACAGGUUGAAAUUCCUGUACCACCGCAGCCGUUAUGAGCAAUGGGGGGACGCAGAAGGAUAGGGACGCGAGCUGAUGGAUGCUCGUCCAAGCAGUGAGGCUGGUCAGUAGGCAAAUCCGCUGACCGUAAGGCUGGGCUGUGACGGGGAGGGAAAAUUACAGUACCGAAGGUCUUGAUUUCAUGCUGCCAAGAAAAGCCUCUAGCCAGGUGAAGGUGCCCGUACCGCAAACCGACACAGGUAGGCGAGAAGAGAAUUCUAAGGCGCGCGGAAGAACUCUCGUUAAGGAACUCGGCAAAAUGACCCCGUAACUUUGGGAGAAGGGGUGCCCCGGUAGGGUUUAUAGCCCGAGGGGGCCGCAGUGAAUAGGCCCGAGCGACUGUUUAGCAAAAACACAGGUCUGUGCGAAGCCGUAAGGCGAAGUAUACGGGCUGACGCCUGCCCGGUGCUGGAAGGUUAAGGGGAGUGGUUAGCCGUAAGGCGAAGCUAUGAACCGAAGCCCCAGUAAACGGCGGCCGUAACUAUAACGGUCCUAAGGUAGCGAAAUUCCUUGUCAGGUAAAUUCUGACCCGCACGAAUGGCGUAACGACUUGGGCGCUGUCUCAACGAGAGAUCCGGUGAAAUUUUAAUACCUGUGAAGAUGCAGGUUACCCGCGACAAGACGGAAAGACCCCAUGGAGCUUUACUGUAGCUUGAUAUUGGACUUUGGUACGGACUGUACAGGAUAGGUGGGAGCCUUUGAAGCAGGAGCGCAAGCUUCUGUGGAGGCGCCGUUGGGAUACCACCCUGUUCGUAUCGGAGUUCUAACCUAGGACCGUGACCCGGUUCGGGGACAGUGUCAGGUGGACAGUUUGACUGGGGCGGUCGCCUCCUAAAGAGUAACGGAGGCGCCCCAAGGUUCCCUCAGAAUGGUUGGAAAUCAUUCGAAGAGUGCAAAGGCAUAAGGGAGCUUGACUGCGAGACCUACAAGUCGAGCAGGGACGAAAGUCGGGCUUAGUGAUCCGGUGGUACCGCAUGGAAGGGCCAUCGCUCAACGGAUAAAAGCUACCCUGGGGAUAACAGGCUUAUCUCCCCCAAGAGUCC
rnacentral:rRNA from 1 species